CCCGCUGAACUUAAGCAUAUCAAUAAGCGGAGGAAAAGAAACUAACAAGGAUUCCCCUAGUAACGGCGAGUGAAGCGGGAAGAGCUCAAAUUUGUAAUCUGGCACCUUCGGUGUCCGAGUUGUAAUCUCGAGAAGUGUUUUCCGCGCCGGACCGCAUACAAGUCUGUUGGAAUACAGCGUCAUAGUGGUGAGAACCCCGUACCUAAUGCGGAUGCCCGGUGCUUUGUGAUACACUUUCGAAGAGUCGAGUUGUUUGGGAAUGCAGCUCAAAUUGGGUGGUAAAUUCCAUCUAAAGCUAAAUAUUGGCGAGAGACCGAUAGCGAACAAGUACCGUGAGGGAAAGAUGAAAAGCACUUUGGAAAGAGAGUUAACAGUACGUGAAAUUGUUGGAAGGGAAACGAUUGAAGUCAGUCGCGUCUACUUGGACUCAGUCUUGCUUCGGCUUGAUGCAUUUCCUUGUGGACGGGCCAGUGUUCAUGUCGAUCGCUGGAGAAGGUACAGGGGAAUGUGGCUCCUUAGGGAGUGUUAUAGCCCAUGUUCAUAUACAGUGAUUGGUAUGGAGUGGUACAGCAUGCUUCGGCGGUGUUUGUACUGGCAUAAUGGCUUUAAACGACCCGUCUUGAAACACGG
rnacentral:rRNA from 1 species